rnacentral:piRNA from 1 species
GACGGUGGAAUGGCUUGGAGAACUGGGC